rnacentral:rRNA from 1 species
UGGGGAAUAUUGGACAAUGGGCGCAAGCCUGAUCCAGCCAUGCCGCGUGAGUGAUGAAGGCCUUAGGGUUGUAAAGCUCUUUUUACCAGGGAUGAUAAUGACAGUACCUGGAGAAUAAGCUCCGGCUAACUCCGUGCCAGCAGCCGCGGUAAUACGGAGGGAGCUAGCGUUGUUCGGAAUUACUGGGCGUAAAGCGUACGUAGGCGGUGACUCAAGUCAGAGGUGAAAGCCUGGAGCUCAACUCCAGAACUGCCUUUGAAACUAGGUCGCUAGAAUCACGGAGAGGUGAGUGGAAUUCCGAGUGUAGAGGUGAAAUUCGUAGAUAUUCGGAAGAACACCAGUGGCGAAGGCGGCUCACUGGACGUGUAUUGACGCUGAGGUACGAAAGCGUGGGGAGCAAACAGGAUUAGAUACCCUUGUAGUCCCUGAGCGGGCUGGCAAGGCG